GCAACAGCACACCAGCGAACCAUCAGCGCAACCUGCAGAGGAUGAUGGGAAACAGAGUCUUCCUGCUGAAGUCCUGCAGCUGCUGAGGACCACGCUCAGCUCAUACCAGCAGAGGCUGUUAGACGCUGACAGACAGCUCCAGGAUCUGCUGCUGGUGUCGGAGAAGCUGCAGGACGAGAACCAGAGUCUUCAGCAGCUGACCUCAGAUCAGAGGAGUCAGAUUGAUGAGUCUCAGCAGGAGACGCUGAAACUGAAGGAGGAGGUGUCUCGCUUACGCCAGGAGAGCUCUGAUUGGUCGACACAGAGUCAAAGCCAGGAGGCCGAGCUGCAGAGAGAGAGGGAGGAGAGGAAGAGGGAACUAGAGAAGGAGAGGGAGGAGAGGACAGCAGACGUCCAGGAGAUAACUGAACACUACAAGAAAGAGUCGACGGUGCUGAAUCGAGAUUUUUAACAUUUGUCUCUCUUUUUUUUCUCAUUUCUCUUCUUCCAUGUUCAGCUUCCUCUUCACUUCAUGAUUCUGGUGCUGCAUUAAUCUGUCCGUUACUUUCAAACUAUUUUUAUCUUCUGUUGACUCAAUUUAAAUGAA